rnacentral:rRNA from 1 species
CAAGCCCUGGAAACGGGGUCUAAUACCGGAUACUGAUCCGCCUGGGCAUCCAGGCGGUUCGAAAGCUCCGGCGGUGCAGGAUGAGCCCGCGGCCUAUCAGCUUGUUGGUGAGGUAGUGGCUCACCAAGGCGACGACGGGUAGCCGGCCUGAGAGGGCGACCGGCCACACUGGGACUGAGACACGGCCCAGACUCCUACGGGAGGCAGCAGUGGGGAAUAUUGCACAAUGGGCGAAAGCCUGAUGCAGCGACGCCGCGUGAGGGAUGACGGCCUUCGGGUUGUAAACCUCUUUCAGCAGGGAAGAAGCGAAAGUGACGGUACCUGCAGAAGAAGCGCCGGCUAACUACGUGCCAGCAGCCGCGGUAAUACGUAGGGCGCAAGCGUUGUCCGGAAUUAUUGGGCGUAAAGAGCUCGUAGGCGGCUUGUCACGUCGGUUGUGAAAGCCCGGGGCUUAACCCCGGGUCUGCAGUCGAUACGGGCAGGCUAGAGUUCGGUAGGGGAGAUCGGAAUUCCUGGU